rnacentral:snRNA from 1 species
GAGAUAGGAUUUUGUGAGAAU